GAUGAACGCUGGCGGCGUGCCUAAUACAUGCAAGUCGAACGAAGAGGUGAGAAGCUUGCUUCUCUGAGGUGAGUGGCGAACGGGUGAGUAACGCGUAGGUAACCUACCUAGAAGAGGGGGAUAACUACGGGAAACGGUAGCUAAUACCGGAUAAUAUUGGAAGCCACAUGUUACAUAAGUGAAAGAGGCAAUUGCUGCACAACAUGAAGGAACUGCGUUGUAUUUGCUAGUAGGUUAGGUAAAGGCUCACCUAGGCGACGAUACAUAGCCGACCUGGGAGGGUGGUCGGCCACACUGGGACUGAGACACGGCCCAGACUCCUUCGGGAGGCAGCAGUAGGGAAUCUUCGGCAAUAGGGGCAACCCUGACCGGGCAACGCCGCGUGAGUGAAGAAGGUUUUCGGAUCGUAAAGCUCUGUUUUAUGUCAAGAACGGGUGUGAGAGUGGAAUGUUCACACUGUGACGGUAGCUUACCAGAAAGGGACGGCUAACUACGUG
rnacentral:rRNA from 1 species